GUUGCGGUUAAAAAGCUCGUAGUUGGAUCUCGGUGCCGGACCGGCGGUCCGCCUCGUGCGNUCUCACUGCCGGCCCCGGAGCCAUCCCGCCGGCCGUCCCUAGGUGCUCUUUGCUGAGUGUCUUGGGUGACCGGAACGUUUACUUUGAACAAAUUAGAGUGCUCCAAGCAGGCGCNUCCCGCCCGCAUAGCCCAGCAUGGAAUAAUGGAAUAGGACCUCGGUUCUAUUUUGUUGGUUUUCGGAACCCGAGGUAAUGAUUNAAAGGAACAGACGGGGGCAUUCGUAUUGCGACGCUAGAGGUGAAAUUCUUGGACCGUCGCAAGACGAACUACUGCGAAAGCAUUUGCCAAGNAUGUUUUCAUUAAUCAAGAACGAAAGUUAGAGGUUCGAAGGCGAUCAGAUACCGCCCUAGUUCUAACCAUAAACGAUGCCGACCAGCGAUCCGCCGGAGUUCCUUCGAUGACUCGGCGGGCAGCUUCCGGGAAACCAAAGUNUUUGGGUUCCGGGGGAAGUAUGGUUGCAAAGCUGNNNCUUNAAGGAAUUGACGGAAGGGCACCACCAGGAGUGGAGCCUGCGGCUUAAUUUGACUCAACACGGGAAAACUCACCCGGCCCGGACACCGGAAGGAUUGACAGAUUGAGAGCUCUUUCUUGAUUCGGUGGGUGGUGGUGCAUGGCCGUUCUUAGUUGGUGGAGCGAUUUGUCUGGUUAAUUCCNAUAACGAACNAGACUCUAGCCUGCUAAAUAGACAACNGAUCCNGGGGUGCCGGUA
rnacentral:rRNA from 1 species